rnacentral:rRNA from 1 species
AGAGUUUGAUCCUGGCUCAGAAUCAACGCUGGCGGCGUGCCUAACACAUGCAAGUCGAACGCGAAAGGGGCUUCGGCCCUGAGUAGAGUGGCGAACGGGUGAGUAACACGUGGGUGAUCUACCUUCGAGUGGGGGAUAACGUCCCGAAAGGGACGCUAAUACCGCAUGACGUUCCGGGUUUAAAGACCUGGAAACCAAAGCCGGGGACCGCAAGGCCUGGCGCUCGAAGAGGAGCCCGCGUCCGAUUAGCUAGUUGGCGGGGUAAUGGCCCACCAAGGCGACGAUCGGUAGCCGGCCUGAGAGGGCGGACGGCCACACUGGAACUGAGACACGGUCCAGACUCCUACGGGAGGCAGCAGUGGGGAAUUGUUCACAAUGGGCGCAAGCCUGAUGACGCAACGCCGCGUGGGGGAUGAAGGUCUUCGGAUUGUAAACCCCUGUCGAAUGGGACGAAAGACCCGGGAGCUAAUCAUCCUGGGAGUGACGGUACCGUAAAGGA